rnacentral:rRNA from 1 species
AUUGAACGCUGGCGGCAGGCUUAACACAUGCAAGUCGAGCGGAGAUGAGGUGCUUGCACCUUAUCUUAGCGGCGGACGGGUGAGUAAUGCUUAGGAAUCUGCCUAUUAGUGGGGGACAACAUUCCGAAAGGAAUGCUAAUACCGCAUACGCCCUACGGGGGAAAGCAGGGGAUCUUCGGACCUUGCGCUAAUAGAUGAGCCUACGUCGGAUUAGCUAGUUGGUGGGGUAAAGGCCUACCAAGGCGACGAUCUGUAGCGGGUCUGAGAGGAUGAUCCGCCACACUGGGACUGAGACACGGCCCAGACUCCUACGGGAGGCAGCAGUGGGGAAUAUUGGACAAUGGGCGGAAGCCUGAUCCAGCCAUGCCGCGUGUGUGAAGAAGGCCUUUUGGUUGUAAAGCACUUUAAGCGAGGAGGAAGCUACCUGGAUUAAUACUCUAGGAUAGUGGACGUUACUCGCAGAAUAAGCACCGGCUAACUCUGUGCCAGCCGCCGCAGUAAUAC